UGGGGAAUAUUGCACAAUGGGCGCAAGCCUGAUGCAGCAACGCCGCGUGAGGGAUGACGGCCUCGGGUUGUAAACCUCUUUUAGUAGGGAAAGAAGCGAAAGUGACGGUACCUGCAGAAAAAGCACCGGCUAACUACGUGCCAGCAGCCGCGGUAAUACGUAGGGUGCGAGCGUUGUCCGGAAUUAUUGGGCGUAAAGAGCUCGUAGGCGGUCUGUCGCGUCUGCUGUGAAAACCCGAGGCUCAACCUCGGGCCUGCAGUGGGUACGGGCAGACUAGAGUGCGGUAGGGGAGAAUGGAAUUCCUGGUGUAGCGGUGGAAUGCGCAGAUAUCAGGAGGAACACCGAUGGCGAAGGCAGUUCUCUGGGCCGUAACUGACGCUGAGGAGCGAAAGCGUGGGGAGCGAACAGGAUUAGAUACCCUGGUAGUCCACGCCGUAAACGUUGGGCGCUAGAUGUGGGGACCAUUCCACGGUUUCCGUGUCGCAGCUAACGCAUUAAGCGCCCCGCCUGGGG
rnacentral:rRNA from 1 species